rnacentral:rRNA from 1 species
AUUGAACGCUGGCGGCAGGCCUAACACAUGCAAGUCGAGCGGUAGCACAGAGAGCUUGCUCUCGGGUGACGAGCGGCGGACGGGUGAGUAAUGUCUGGGAAACUGCCUGAUGGAGGGGGAUAACUACUGGAAACGGUAGCUAAUACCGCAUAACGUCGCAAGACCAAAGUGGGGGACCUUCGGGCCUCAUGCCAUCAGAUGUGCCCAGAUGGGAUUAGCUAGUAGGUGGGGUAACGGCUCACCUAGGCGACGAUCCCUAGCUGGUCUGAGAGGAUGACCAGCCACACUGGAACUGAGACACGGUCCAGACUCCUACGGGAGGCAGCAGUGGGGAAUAUUGCACAAUGGGCGCAAGCCUGAUGCAGCCAUGCCGCGUGUGUGAAGAAGGCCUUCGGGUUGUAAAGCACUUUCAGCGGGGAGGAAGGCGAUAGGGUUAAUAACCUUGUCGAUUAACGUUACCCGCAGAAGAAGCACCGGCUAACUCCGUGCCAGCCGCCGCCGUAACAC